rnacentral:rRNA from 1 species
AUUGAACGCUGGCGGCAGGCCUAACACAUGCAAGUCGAACGAGCGGCGGACGGGUGCGUAAUGUCUGGGAACCUGCCUGAUGGAGGGGGAUAACUACUGGAAACGGUAGCUAAUACCGCAUACCAUCAGAUGUGCCCAGAUGGGAGUAGCUGGUGGGUGGGGUAACGGCUCACCUAGGCGACGAUCCCUAGCUGGUCUGAGAGGCUGACCAGCCACCUUGGAACGGAGACACGGUCCAGACUCCUACGGGAGGCAGCAGGGGGGAAUAUUGCACAAUGGGCGCAAGCCUGAUGCAGCCAUGCCGCGUGUGUGAAGAAGGCCUUCGGGUUGUAAAGCACUUUCGGCGGGGAGGCGUUACCCGCAGAAGAAGCACCGGCUAACUCCGUGCCAGCAGCCGCGGUAAUUC